UGGAACUUGCCAAGUAGGACAGGCAAAUCUGACCUCCCUGCACUGGGAUUGCACGAGUGCUGCCAUGACUCCUAGUAUUUCUGCCUGGGUUCUGGGGAGUGGACUUAGAUCCUCAUGCUCAUGGGACUUUAAGGAUAGCAGUUUCCCAGCCCAUCUCUUCUUUUUCACACUCUGGUUCUUUUUGCUUCUUUCUCUUCUGGUUUCCUUCCAGGUCCCAUGCCCUCCCAGACCUUACCUGACACCUCAGGGAGAAGACUCGGUAGGAUGUGCUAGGCCCAACUUUUUUUCAAAUCUGCCCGUCGCUUCCCCCUGCAGUGGGAGCUCUGGUGGAGACUGUAGCCGUUUACAAAGGCCAGGAAUACUUUCCAGAAGAUGAAUAGCAACUUGUGGGAGAGAGGAGACGGAACAGCGGUGCUGGUGUUGAGAUUCUCUGUGGGAAGAGGACACACUUAACCAUGGAGCCACCUCUCUAGUCCCUAGUUGGCAAUGUUCUUUAAGAAAGCAUGUGGCUGUUGGAUCCGGAGUUUGAAGACAGCGUGAACUAUAGCAAGUUCCAGGCCAGCCUGGGUUACACAGGAAAACCCUAAUAAAAACAGGACAAUUCCGAGUUUCAGUUUCAGAAUGUGUGCUGGGAGCACGGUAAAAAGCCUGGGUGAUGCUUAAUUUCUCAGAGAACGACUCACACCUUGCUUGGUGAUGUCAGUGUGCUGGGCCUAUGCAAGACUCCCCUGUCUCUCUGAAGGACCAGACAGAUGUAAGCCAUCUGACUUCCGCUCAGCUGCAGGCUUGAGGGAGACACAGCUGUUGCCUUCAUUCCAGGGGCCUGAAAAGACAACUCUCCCCAGCCUAGGUGUCUGCUGCUCCCACACCAGGCAGGGAAAGGCUGUGCCAGGCACUGGCACCUGAGGAAUCUUGGCUGGUGGGUGGAGUGCCUUCUUCAUGACCCUCCUUUGAAAUUCAUCCCCAGAUUUCAUCCCAGAGCCACUCCGUUCCAGAGCCCUCUGCCUGCCGCAUCUCUCUAUUAUACUUCAGGCCCAGUUACUUUGGGCACCCACAGGCGGAGCUGGGAGGUCAGAGGGUGCUUCGGGCCCUUAGCUCACAGCCUUCUUCCUCAGAGCAGAGAGGGAGGCAUGUAUUUCUGGAGUGAUGGAGGUGUGACUGCCAGGGGUCAGGAGGCAGACUGGUUAAAGUCUAUAAAACUGUGAAGAAGAGCCAAGCGAUGGCUCAGUGGUUCGGAGAAUCUGUUGCUCUUGCAGAUUCUUCUCAGCCCACAAUGGCUCUUAACUCCAGUGCAAGAGCUUCUGAGACCUUCUGGCCUCCGUGGGCAUCAGGCACACACGAGCACAUACACAGAUAUAGACAAAGCACUCAUAAACAUGACAUGAAAUAAAAACCAACAAACCCAGACAACCGUCUGAGGAAAUGGAGUCUAUUCUUGUAGGCUAGAUCAUACCACAUUCUUCUUUUAAAAGACAGGUCUCAUGUAGCCCAGGUUGGCCUCAGACUCACUAUGUAGCACAGGAUGACCUUCCUUGUGCUGAAUGGCAGGUGGUCAGCACAGCCUAUGGUUUCUGUGGUACUAAAGAUGGAGACCAGGGCUUUGUGCCCAUUAGGCAAGUGCUGUUCCCCAUGAGUUACAUCCUUGGGCCCGCAGCAUAUUCUUGUCUUUAAAUUGAUUUUUUUUUUUUAGAACUUUGUACAUGAGCGGUGUGACCGUAUUCUCACCUGCGAAUUUAUAAUCUUUAGCAAGGUUUACGGCAGUGGUUCCAACCUUCCUAAUGCUGUGACCCUUUAAUAGAGUUCUCUGUGUUGUAGUGACUCCCAACCCAAACUAAAAUUAU
rnacentral:sRNA from 1 species